UAGGCAGGAAAGGGAAAGCGCUUCGGGU
rnacentral:piRNA from 1 species